GCUAGCUUGUGCAUAUUCUUCGCAAGGUGGAAAUUUUGGCUCCAUAAACGGUUGUGAGUUCAUCAAAAACGAGCUCAUGAUCAUUAAUUUUUGAAUGAGUUGGAUGGAAAUAAUUUUCGUUCGCGUAUGUCGUUUAACAGGGCUUAAACUCCGCCCUUUUGAGGAAAUUACCAUAUCACAUGGCCGUAGUAAACCAGUGAUAUGUCUAACCACUGAACGGCCGUUGGGACGUCACGAGAAAAUAUGACAGAGACGUAUUAUUUCAAUAUGGCGGCUGUUUUUGUGGUUAUGGCUUUGUACGAUUGACAAAGUUCAACUUCACAAGUUAUAACUUUAAUACAACUGAAAGCUUAAGUGUAAAAUGCAUUCAGAUAAAGAUGUAUUAGCGUGAGGAACUUCUAUCAAGACUGAAGUAAGAAAUGUCAGUAUACUGAAAGAACACUAACAAGUAAACACCACUGCUAGCUUUCUAUUUAAAUAAUCGGCCAAUUGAGCUUUACUGAAUCCCAUUGAAGUACAAAACGAUUAGGAGUUUGUUAUAUUUGGAUGAGUAAUAGCAUUUGAAGUUUGAAACUACUAAGCCCUUUGGAGUUCUGGGAAACUGUUGGUUUAUAGUGCGCAUGAUCAAGAUAAUUCCCUAACGCAGACUCACUCCUUGCUUACUGUUUCAUACUAUGCUAUUAGGCGAAAGGCAUCGUCGGCACCAGAUUCUUAGAACUCUAUAUGAAGACAUAUCUACAUAUGGAUCAAGUCGUCUAAUGCAGCACCUAUGGACUUUUGUGGAUUGGACUUUUGAAAUUGGCGCUGGUGGCCGAUUCAAGAGGGCGCUGUUGUUAUUUAUGAAACAAAUUCAAAACAGAAACACCUCGCAGUACAACAUAAUUAGAAUUAUUUUUUCUGUACAUAGUUCACAGGAUGAAUUUGAUGAUAGUCUUUAAAACUUCUUUAAGAUUGUGACAGAGAAUCAAACAAAUAAAUAACUUAUCUAUAAUGGUCAUUACUUUUAAAUUUGCCAUACAGUUGUUUCUGGUUAUUUUCUUCUUUUAAAAGUUAUAAAUAAAACUUCUACAUUUACCAUAUUUGUAUGAGCUUUUAUAGAAAAAAUCUUUGCUUUUCCUCUAUUAUUUGACUUCAAUGUACUUUUUUAGUAAUUCUUUAUUUGAAUAGCUGCUAAAAUUAAUAUUUUGUAGCUUUUCAAACAUUUUAUGGAACAACAACUCUUACGGUGAAAGUACAUGAAAUAAAGGGGUUGUCUUUACCUUCUAAAAUUGUCUGAGUUAUUGAAUUUCUGUAUUUGUGAAUAACUAUAAUGAUGAAAACUUUCUAGCUCAGUAAUCUAACUGUCGUAGUUAUUGAAACAGAACCUUACAAAACUAUACUUACAAUGUCGGUUCAUAGAACUGUCUAUUCAUUUCUUUUGAAUGUCUCAUAUAACGAAAAGGCUUUGUUUGAAUAUGAUUGUAGAGCUAGCUUUAUAUAAGUAGAAUGAGAAUAAAAGCAAUAUUUGCGAUGCAUCUGAGUGAUGAAGUUUCAAGUUGAACUAAUAUUUCAUCCUUUUCCCCUGACAAGCUAUUUUGUACCUUCAGUCAUUGUGAUGAAAAUGUGCAUGCCAAUACUGCUUCAUUAUAUAAGUAAUUACUAUUCAGGGCGAGAAUCGAAAAGUAAAUUGAAAUUUGAAAUUUCUACAACAAUCAUAGAAAGUAGCUUUUAAAGUCUAGACAUUUUGGAUGUUGUCGGUAUUAAACCACUGUAAGUGCUUACUACCUGGCUAAAUAUUGCCCUUAUAAAUCACCAAGUGUUUAUUACUUUGCUGUAUAUUGUUUGUAUUAAAUCACUGUAAUUGUUUACUUCCCAGCUCAAUAUUGUCUGUAUAAGUCACUAAAUGUUUACUACUGGCUGGAUCUUGUCUUGAUUAAAUCACGAUAUCUUUGGUACUGCCUGGUUGGAUAUUGUCUGUAUUAAAUCAUUGUAAGUGGUUACUACCUUUCUGGGUAUUGUCUGUGUUAAAUCAUUGUAAGUGUUUACUUCCUGGCUGCAUAUUGUCUUUAUUAAAUCACCGCAAGUGUUCAUUUAAAAUUUGACAGAAUUUCAUG